rnacentral:rRNA from 1 species
AACGAACGCUGGCGGCAGGCUUAACACAUGCAAGUCGAGCGCCCCGCCAGGGGAGCGGCAGACGGGUGAGUAACGCGUGGGAACGUACCCUUAUCUUCGGGAUAGCUCCGGGAAACUGGAAUUAAUACCGAAUGUGCCCUUUGGGGGAAAGGUUUAUCGGGUAAGGAUCGGCCCGCGUUGGAUUAGCGAGUUGGUGGGGUCAAGGCCUCCCAAGGCGACUGUCCAUAGCUGGUCUGAGAGGAUGAUCAGCCACAUUGGGACUGAGAAACGGCCCAAACUCCUCCGGGAGGCAGCAGUGGGGAAUAUUGGACAAUGGGCGCAAGCCUGAUCCAGCCAUGCCGCGUGAGUGAUGAAGGCCUUAGGGUUGUAAAGCUCUUUCACCGGAGAAGAUAAUGACGGUACCCGGAGAAGAAGCCCCGGCUAACUUCGUG